UACGAAGGGGGCUAGCGUUGCUCGGAAUCACUGGGCGUAAAGCGCACGUAGGCGGAUUGCUAAGUCAGGGGUGAAAUCCUGGAGCUCAACUCCAGAACUGCCCUUGAUACUGGCGACCUUGAGUCCGGGAGAGGUGAGUGGAACUGCGAGUGUAGAGGUGAAAUUCGUAGAUAUCGCAAGAACACCAGUGGCGAAGGCGGCUCACUGGCCCCGGUACUGACGCUGAGGUGCGAAAAGCGUGGGGGAGCAAACAGGG
rnacentral:rRNA from 1 species